ACGGCUCAGUAACACGUGGAUAACCUGCCCUUAGGUCUGGCAUAACCCCGGGAAACUGGGGAUAAUUCCGGAUAGAUCAUAGAUGCUGGAAUGCCCUGUGAUCCAAAGCUUUUGUGCCUAAGGAUGGGUCUGCGGUCUAUCAGGUUGUAGUGGGUGUAAUGUACCUACUAGCCUACGACGGAUACGGGUUGUGGGAGCAAGAGCCCGGAGAUGGAUUCUGAGACAUGAAUCCAGGCCCUACGGGGCGCAGCAGGCGCGAAAACUUUACAAUGCGGGAAACCGCGAUAAGGGGACACCGAGUGCCAGCAUCCUAUGUUGGCUGUCCAUAUGUCUAAAUCACAUGUGUUAGCAAGGGCCGGGCAAGACCGGUGCCAGCCGCCGCGGUAACACCGGCGGCCCGAGUGGUGGCCACUAUUAUUGGGUCUAAAGGGUCCGUAGCCGGUUUGGUCAGUCUUCCGGGAAAUCUGACGGCUCAACCGUUAGGCUUUCGGGGGAUACUACCAGGCUUGGGACCGGGAGAGGUAAGAGGUACUACGGGGGUAGGAGUGAAAUCUUGUAAUCCCUGUGGGACCACCAGUGGCGAAGGCGUCUUACCAGAACGGGUCCGACGGUGAGGGACGAAGGCUGGGGGCACGAACCGGAUUAGAUACCCGGGUAGUCCCAGCUGUAAACUAUGCUCGCUAGGUGUCAGGGACGGUGCGACCGUUUCUGGUGCCGCAGGAAGCCGUGAAGCGAGCCACCUGGGGAGUACGGUCGCAAGGCUGAAACUUAAAGGAAUUGGCGGGGGAGCAC
rnacentral:rRNA from 1 species